rnacentral:rRNA from 1 species
GACGAACGCUGGCGGCGUGCUUAACACAUGCAAGUCGAACGGAAAGGCCCCUUUGUUGCUACUCGUGUGGCGAACGCGUGAGUAACACUUGCGUAACCUGCCCCUGCCUUUGGGAUAACGACAGCAUACUGAGACUAAUACUAGUACGGAAUCCUAGCUUCAUGCUGGGGGUUUGAAAGUUUCGGCGGUUUUUGCUGGACUCGCGGCUUAUCAGCUUGUUUGUUGGGUAGUGGCUUACCAAGGCUUUGACGGGUAGCCGGCCUGAGAGGGCGACCGGCGACAUAGGGACUGAGAUACGGCCCAGACUCCGACGGGAGGCAGCAGUGGGGAAUCUUGCAGAAUGGGCGGGAGCCUGAUGCAGAAGCGCCGCGUGCGGGAUGACGGGCUUCGGGUUGUAAACCGCUUUCAGAAGGGGCGAAGCUUGUGGUGACGGUACCUGCAGAGGAAGCACCGGCUAACUACGUG